rnacentral:rRNA from 1 species
CGAUGAAGGACGUGCUAAUCUGCGAAAAGCGUCGGUAAGGUGAUAUGAACCGUUACAGCCGGCGAUGUCCGAAUGGGGAAACCCAGUGCAAUUCGUUGCACUAUCGUUAACUGAAUACAUAGGUUAACGAGGCGAACCGGGGGAACUGAAACAUCUAAGUACCCCGAGGAAAAGAAAUCAACCGAGAUUCCCCCAGUAGCGGCGAGCGAACGGGGAGCAGCCCAGAGUCUGAAUCAGCUUGUGUGUUAGUGGAACGGUCUGGAAAGUCCGACGGUACAGGGUGAUAGUCCCGUACACCAAAAUGCACAGGCUGUGAACUCGAAGAGUAGGGCGGGACACGUGGUAUCCUGUCUGAAUAUGGGGGGA